rnacentral:rRNA from 1 species
UAGGGAAUCUUCCACAAUGGACGAAAGUCUGAUGGAGCAACGCCGCGUGAGUGAUGAAGGGUUUCGGCUCGUAAAACUCUGUUGUUGGAGAAGAACGGGUGUCAGAGUAACUGUUGACAUCGUGACGGUAUCCAACCAGAAAGCCACGGCUAACUACGUGCCAGCAGCCGCGGUAAUACGUAGGUGGCAAGCGUUGUCCGGAUUUAUUGGGCGUAAAGCGAGCGCAGGCGGUUUUUUAGGUCUGAUGUGAAAGCCUUCGGCUUAACCGGAGAAGUGCAUCGGAAACCGGGAGACUUGAGUGCAGAAGAGGACAGUGGAACUCCAUGUGUAGCGGUGAAAUGCGUAGAUAUAUGGAAGAACACCAGUGGCGAAGGCGGCUGUCUGGUCUGCAACUGACGCUGAGGCUCGAAAGCAUGGGUAGCGAACAGGAUUAGAUACCCCUUGG